CCACCAGUCCGCCAUCUUUCUUACCUUUUUGAUGGUUGUUGACUUGUAAAUUUUGUAAUUAGUUUUUGCCGACGUCCGUUUUUUAAGUAAUUUUUGGUAUUUUACAAAUUGUGUUACUUUAGUGGACACGUGGAGACAUGGACGCUGACUGUUGGAAGAAUUCGUCAAUUCAGACUGGCGCAAAGAGCUAUCAGGGCGCGAUGCCAGGAAUUUCAUUGCGAGACAGAAUUCGAAAUGAGGAUAUUCGCCAACGCAAUAAAGUUACCGACAUUGCAAAAAGGAUUAACUCAAGUGGGAAUGGACCGGCUAUAUUUUUCGCAGAGAUGACGAUCAAUGGGGUCGCCUAGUAUUGCUGUGGAGACCUAGCCUGGGUGGCCGAGGUGGCGGGAAACCACGAGCAGAUGGUCGGAUGACACAUAUAGAACGGAGUGGAAACCCACGGAAUGCAGACCAGGAUCAUAUACUUUAGGUAUGAGUUUGUUACUUUUGCUCAUAAUAACAUGGAGUAUGUCACGGCUGCUCCACGGGCUGCAUUGAAGGGCAACAGGAGCGAAAAUGUUAAAAUGGAAAGGAGCUCCCCUUUCAAUUAGGGAAUCUUAGGAUAUGCUAAGGCAAACAGAAGGAGGCAAGGAACGGGACUGCAUCAAUUGCUGUCUGGAACCAAUCUUGUGGGAUGACUUCUGGACAGGGAAAAACAAUUUCAUCAUCUACCCUAAUACUGACGAAUGUUCUAAAACGUGCUGUAAGGCAGACAUUUCCAAAUGUAACGGAGGAAAGUUUCGAGACAUGUAAUGGUUUCAACAUGCUGCUGAGACCCAACUCAAGAGACGUCAGUUUGUACUGUUUAGUCCAUUCUCUAUUGGGCAUGCUUGUAUAGAGAGGUAUAUAUAUAUAUAUUGGAGUACAGACAUGGUGUUUGGUAUGAGUAUUAUAUACAUCCUUUUGAGUCAAAUAGGACCGGUAGCCACUUUGAACUCCGUGUCCGAAAGGGUCAAAGUAUGGAGCUCCCGGUACUCAGAAAAAAAAUUCUGGCCUAUUAGUUUUGAACUUUCGAGUCAAGUUUGGUGUCAUUUUUAAACUGUUCGCUUCGUUUUUAAAUUGAAGAAGAUUAAAAAUCACAGUAAUAUUAUAAAGGCAAAAGUUUGUGAGCAUACCGUGUUUGUUACUUCCUCACGCCACGCCCAAGUGCCUUAACAAAUAUUAUUUAUAAAAUUAAGUAUGGAGGAAGUACGAUAUACCCUAAGUUAACACGUCGCUUCUUCUUGAUCGUGGGUAACACUCGGGGCGCAGUAUAAUGAUUAUUAAAAAU
rnacentral:lncRNA from 1 species